rnacentral:lncRNA from 1 species
AACGAAUCCCACACCGCAUCGUUAAGUGGAGUGGAGUGCCUUCGAAGGUGGUGCGUUCAAUUAAAAAAUACUUUACGAUAUUACAAAAUUACCACGUAACAGGGAGGUGGCCCGCUCUCCCUCUCUCUCUCUCUCUCUCUCUCUCUCUCUCGCUGUGUGUUUGUGAGCGGAGGAGGCGGGCCAAGUCUGGGCAGUGGCAAGGGCAGCCGGCCAGGUCUAUGCUCCUCACGAGAGACAGCAGCCAGUCCGGGCCAGGCCGAGGCCCAGUUCGAGAUGCAGGCGCAAAGCCGCAAGAGCCACUGCCACAGCCACAAACGGGACGCAUGCGCAUAGUUCGAAUGGCAUUAAGUACGCCACUUGAGGCAGAGACUGGCCACUGCACAGUGGUGCAAUGGUGGGUCAGAAUGGAAAGUACUUUCCACAUCAAAUAAAUGUGAAUCUGUGAUAUCUUGGAGUACAUUCGAGCAAGUAA